rnacentral:rRNA from 1 species
GUGAAUUGCAGAAUCCCGUGAACCAUCGAGUCUUUGAACGCAAGUUGCGCCCUAAUCCAUUAGGCCGAGGGCACUUCUGCCUGGGUGUCA